UUUUUUAAGUGGAUACCGAGGUACCCCUAAUUCUACUUCCGGACACUUGUCCAUUUUUUCUGCGAGGUUGUCGAGCACUUGCUUCUUUUUAUUUCCUCGAAAUAUCUUCUAUUUUUGCAUAGCCCAUGCCUCUAAUGCAAUAAUACUUCGGAAGAGUGAAUCUUACUGAAAUAAUGUCUUGAUCUUAGGAGCAUGAUAAAUCUCUCAACAAGGGUCUAACUCAUUUUGAACAAACUCAAUACAGAGCAGAUAGCUUUUAUAAUCAUAUUUAAUAUUUCAGUUUUAUCAGGCAUAUAAAACACUGAGGAUGGUAGCUAGGAAUUUGAACAUUUUGAAAUAAAUUCUCCAAGCAACAAUGAUAUCAAGAAUAAGAAACUCAUACUCUACCAUCACAUAUUCCAUCUUGACUUAAGUAACACAUGGUUUUAAAAAAUGAUUUUAUACUAAUUGCAAGUUUUCAGGAAAUAUCACAGAUUGAGAUUAAUCAUGAUUAGAAAUAUUUUAAUCUUUUUAUUUUAUCAUGUCGGGAACAAUAUUCUGCAUAAUCUAAAAUAUAUAUAUGUGUAGAGUAAAGUGUGCAGAGUGUGUACCUGAAUCGUGGAGUGGUGUAGUCGGAGUGUGUUUAGCAUGUCGAGGGAUCUCCCCCAUACUUGUUUUCUGCUUUCUUGCACAAAAAUAAAGUAGAGACACACAAUACAUAAUAAUAAUACUCUUUAUUGAUCUUGAGGCAUUUAUUACACAAGGAAGAACAAAAUUAUUUUUGGCUAUUCUCUCCCGGAUUAGGAGUAGAAUAUUUUUGGGUGAUUCUAAAGAUGGAAAUGUAUGGAUAUAUGUGGAUGGUACUUCCGGAGUAGAAGUAGCAUGUGUGAGUGAACGUGCAAGUGAAACUUGAUUUAACCACAUGACAAGCUCCUAAGGGUCU
rnacentral:lncRNA from 1 species